rnacentral:rRNA from 1 species
UGGGGAAUUUUGGACAAUGGGCGCAAGCCUGAUCCAGCCAUGCCGCGUGCGGGAAGAAGGCCUUCGGGUUGUAAACCGCUUUUGUCAGGGAAGAAAUCUUCUGAGUUAAUACCUCGGGAGGAUGACGGUACCUGAAGAAUAAGCACCGGCUAACUACGUGCCAGCAGCCGCGGUAAUACGUAGGGUGCAAGCGUUAAUCGGAAUUACUGGGCGUAAAGCGUGCGCAGGCGGUUUUGUAAGACAGAGGUGAAAUCCCCGGGCUCAACCUGGGAACUGCCUUUGUGACUGCAAGGCUUGAGUGCGGCAGAGGGGGAUGGAAUUCCGCGUGUAGCAGUGGAAUGCGUAGAUAUGCGGAGGAACACCGAUGGCGAAGGCAAUCCCCUGGGCCUGCACUGACGCUCAUGCACGAAAGCGUGGGGAGCAAACAGGAUUAGAUAGCCCUGGUAGUCCACGCCCUAAACGAUGUCAACUGGUUGUUGGGAAGGUUCCUUCUCAGUAACGUAGCUAACGCGUGAAGUUGACCGCCUGGGGAGUACGGCCGCAAGGUUG